rnacentral:rRNA from 1 species
UGUAAGCGUAUACCAAAGUUGUUGCAGUUAAAACGCUCGUAGUCGGAAUUUGGCAGUUCCGGAUGUGUGCACGUCGUGUGCGCACUUCGCGGGGAUUGCUUUUGUGGUCUUGCGUAGGAUGAGGCACUUUUAUUAGUGAACGUCCUCACGCAACCACUUUUUACAGUGAGAAAAUCAGAGUGCUCAAAGCAGGCAUUUGCCGUGAAUGUAUUAGCAUGGAAUAAUAGAAUAGGACUCGGUUCUAUUUUGUUGGUUUGUUGGGACUGAGUAAUGAUUAAGAGGGACAGUUGGGGGCAUUUGUAUUUCGGCGCUAGAGGUGAAAUUCUUAGAUUGCCGAAAGACAAACUGCUGCGAAAGCGUCUGCCAAGGAUGUUUUCAUUGA